UAGAAUGGGUCCCCUGCCAUUGCACUCCAAAUAUAUCUCUCUCCCACAAUCCUGGGUUUGGUAUCAUUGCCCUCACCCUUGUGCCAUUGCCUCUUAGGUCCUGUAAUGUCUGCAGAUGUUUUCUAGAAGAUCUCUGGAGGCCUCUCCCAGCUGCAGUGCUGACUAUUCCUAGAAGCCUCACAGAAACAUUUGAUGGGCUCCUAUGGGGCCCAAGAACAAGACUGUACCAGAACCAGUAAAUAAGGCAAAGGGCCCAACAGUCCUCAUGAUACAGGUGUGGGAAUAGGGACUUACUGGAGCCUGGGAGUUUGGGUGUUUCCCAGUACAUAAAACACCCGUGAAGAUCAGUGUAUUUUUCCAGGAAGGGAGUAGAGGAAGUCACGGGAGGAUCAGGAAACACAAAUUAGUGCAUUAAAAGAAAUAAUA